rnacentral:misc_RNA from 1 species
GAAACGCGAUAGGUAAUGUGAAUUGCAGAAUUCCGUGAAUCAUCGAAUCUUUGAACGCACAUUGCGCCUUCUGGUAUUCCGGUAGGCAUGUCUGUUUGAGCGUCAGCAAACACCCUCAGCUUGAGUAUUUUAUUAUGCGAAGAGUUGGUCUUGGGCAGCGGAUGCCGGUGGUGAUUUCUCCACCUGCGCCCUCCCUAAACUUGCUGCACGACCGCAAGCCCCUUCUAGCCAGGUCAAUGGAGUGGUGUUACAAUCUUCCAAAAAGCCUGCUGGUAACCGCUUCGUGGCGUUAAACCCAGAUGUCUCCCUCACGGGGGACUGAAGUUUUGACCUCAGAUCAGACAAGGAUACCCGCUGAACUUAA